rnacentral:rRNA from 1 species
CAAUGAUCUAACGACUGAUCAGUUAUCUACGAGAAGGAUAUUAAACCCGUCUAAGACGGGCAUAUAUAUAUAAAAAAAACUAUAUAUAUAUAAAAAUAAUAAAAGAUUAACUAUAAACUUCUAAAUAAUAUGAUAAUAAUGAUAUCGAUUAUGAAAAGUCCUAACUAAAAUAUGUGCCAGCAGCUGCGGUUAGACAUAGAGGGCAAGCAUUGGUCAAAAUGGCUUAAAGGAUCUGUAGAACGUAUAAAAAAAUUUAAUAUAGAAUAAUGACUAGAAAUAGGAAGGGUAAUAAGAAUUAAAGUUAGAGGGAUAAAAUACUACGAAAACAUUAAGACUAUAAAGAGAUUACUUAAAAUUAUUGACGUUGUGAGAUGAAGGCUACGGUAGCGACAUGGAUUCGAUACCCAUUUAGUCGUAGCAGUGAACUAUGAGUACAAUAUUAUGAAAAAUGAAAAUGAAUAGUACUCCGCCUGACUAGUACGCUCGCAAGGGUGAAAUACAAGACAUUAGACGGUUGUAGUCCCAAGCAGUGGAACAUGUCAUUUAAUUGGAUGAUCCUCCAAGAACCUUACCAUCUCUUGAAUUAUUAACAGGCGUUACAUCGUUGUCGUCAGUUCAUGCCGUGAGGUUUAAUAUUAAGUUAUUGAAUGAACGUAACCCUUUUCUUAUAGAUAAGUAUAAUUGUAAAAUUAUAGGAAGUAGAGGUAGAAGACUAAUCAUGAUGACCCUAAUGAGAUGGGCAAUCGACGUGUUACAAUAUUAAUAACAAUUAAAUUAACUUUAAUGUUAAUAUAAAUAUAAUCUAUAUGAUUAUUUAUUAAAUAUUAAGAAUAAGACAUAGUUUCAUUUAUGGAUUGUAAUCUGAAAUUCGGUUACAUAAAGGAGGAAUUGCUAGUAAUCGUAAACUAGAUAGUUACGGUGAAAUUUUUUGCUACUUCGUACUAACCACUCAUCAACAGCAAGAAAUUUUUAUUUACUUAUUAGCUUUUAUA